rnacentral:rRNA from 1 species
ACAGAGGGGGCAAGCGUUGUUCGGAAUUACUGGGCGUAAAGGGCGCGUAGGCGGCCUGCUAAGUCGAACGUGAAAUCCCCGGGCUCAACCCGGGAACUGCGUCCGAUACUGGUGGGCUUGAAUCCGGGAGAGGGAUGUGGAAUUCCAGGUGUAGCGGUGAAAUGCGUAGAUAUCUGGAGGAACACCGGUGGCGAAGGCGGCAUCCUGGACCGGUAUUGACGCUGAGGCGCGAAAGCCAGGGGAGCAAACGGGAUUAGAUACCCCGGUAGUCCUGGCCCUAAACGAUGAAUGCUUGGUGUGGCGGGUAUCGAUCCCUGCCGUGCCGAAGCUAACGCAUUAAGCAUUCCGCCUGGGGAGUACGGUCGCAAGGCUG